GGGGCCGUAGCCCAACGGCAGGAGGCAGCAGGUUUAGGACCUGUACAGUGCGGGUUCGAAUCCCGCCGGCCCCACCA
rnacentral:tRNA from 1 species